rfam:TPA: Bos taurus chromosome 1, whole genome shotgun sequence.
UCCCUUGUAACUCAGUCAGUAAAGAAUCUGCCUGCAAUGCAGGAGACCCAGGUUCAAUCCCUGGGUUGGGAA